rnacentral:tRNA from 1 species
GCCCAAGUGGCGGAAUUGGUAGACGCGCACGGUUCAGGUCCGUGUGACAGAAAUGUCAUGGAAGUUCGAGUCUUCUCUUGGGCACCA